rnacentral:rRNA from 1 species
AGUGAACGCUGGCGGUAGGCCUAACACAUGCAAGUCGAACGGCAGCACAGUAAGAGCUUGCUCUUACGGGUGGCGAGUGGCGGACGGGUGAGGAAUACAUCGGAAUCUACUUUUUCGUGGGGGAUAACGUAGGGAAACUUACGCUAAUACCGCAUACGACCUACGGGUGAAAGCAGGGGAUCUUCGGACCUUGCGCGAUUGAAUGAGCCGAUGCCGGAUUAGCUAGUUGGCGGGGUAAAGGCCCACCAAGGCGACGAUCCGUAGCUGGUCUGAGAGGAUGAUCAGCCACACUGGAACUGAGACACGGUCCAGACUCCUACGGGAGGCAGCAGUGGGGAAUAUUGGACAAUGGGCGCAAGCCUGAUCCAGCCAUACCGCGUGGGUGAAGAAGGCCUUCGGGUUGUAAAGCCCUUUUGUUGGGAAAGAAAAGCAGCAGGUUAAUACCCCGCUAUUCUGACGGUACCCAAAGAAUAAGCACCGGCUAACUUCGUG